GUCCCUGUAGCGCAAUAGAUAGCGCGUUGGACUUCUAAUCCAAAGGUCGUAGGCUCGAAUUCCACCUGGGAUG